rnacentral:lncRNA from 1 species
GAGGUUUAUUUCGAGCUAUUUAUUCUGCACCCUGGUGUUAGUUCUCCACCCGAGGACAUGGCCUAGCCUUCAAGUGAUUGUUCACCUCCUGCACCACACGCUCACCUUGGAUCCAAGGCAGGUGCUAGCCUAUCGUGCAUACCAUUUUAGGUGGUUUCGACUCGUAGGUGACUUGCGAUACUUCGCAGAGCCUUCAUGUGACCAUAACACUGAAGCGUAUUUAUUUACACCAAGCCUGUCGUACAGACCACUUUAGGUGGUUCCAACUUGUGUGCAGAAUUUGAUUGAUGAGUUGUGGACCCAGCCGUAUUGAAUUAUGGCAUUUGGCUUACUUAGUUCUUUUUGAGAUUUGACAUGGUAUAUUCGGUGGAUUGCUAUUUUGAAUAUGAUUUUGAGAUAUAAUCGUAUAUGCUAUUUUCUAGGAAUUAUACAGGUUUUACAGUGAGCGGUUACUACUUUAUAAAUGAAAUGAUUUUGAAAAGCUUUGUUUUUGCUCACUCACUCUUUCUGUUUUGGGUAGGAGUGCUCGUUGGUGGCUCACGAGGAAUUUACGGCAACUCUGAUAGAUUAUCAUUAAUGUAGGACCAUCUUUGGUAUUGUAUAAUUAGUAUUCGUCCUGCUAGACUGCACUUAGGCUACCUAAGCACUGGUUGUGUGUAGUCACUUUUAAAUAUUGCACUUUCACCUUAUCUCGUCUAGUGUUUUAGUUAGUUGGUUUUAUUUAUCCGCAUUCCUUAUAUUAAUUUUGCUUCCGCACUGUGCACAUGGCUACGUCACCUUUACGUGACAACCAUCAUGCCUCGAUCUAGGUCGGGGUGUGUUAACUGUGGAUAAUAACAAUAUUGACCACGGGCAUUAUAAUAAAGGUAAACUUAUAAAUAAAUGAGUUUGUUAUAAGGUGGUUAAAACAACCCUUGUAAUUAGCUAAUG